rnacentral:rRNA from 1 species
GACGAACGCUGGCGGCGUGCCUAAUACAUGCAAGUAGAACGCUGAAGCGAGGAGCUUACUCUUCUUGGAUGAGUUGCGAACGGGUGAGUAACGCGUAGGUAACCUGCCUUGUAGCGGGGGAUAACUAUUGGAAACGAUAGCUAAUACCGCAUAACAAUGGAUGACACAUGUCAUUUAUUUGAAUGGGGCAAUUGCUCCACUACAAGAUGGACCUGCGUUGUAUUAGCUAGUAGGUGAGGUAAUGGCUCACCUAGGCGACGAUACAUAGCCGACCUGAGAGGGUGAUCGGCCACACUGGGACUGAGACACGGCCCAGACUCCUAAGGGAGGCAGCAGUAGGGAAUCUUCGGCAAUGGGGGCAAACCUGACCGAGCAACGCCGCGGGAGUGAAGAAGGUUUUCGGAUCGUAAAGCUCUGUUGUAAGUCAAGAACGGGUGUGAGAGUGGAAAGUUCACACUGUGACGGUAGCCUACCAGAAAGGGACGGCUAACUACGUG